rnacentral:rRNA from 1 species
GACGAACGCUGGCGGCGUGCUUAACACAUGCAAGUCGAACGGAAAGGCCCUGCUUGCAGGGUACUCGCGUGGCGAACGGGUGAGUAACACGUGGGUGAUCUGCCCUGCACUUCGGGAUAAGCCUGGGAAACUGGGUCUAAUACCGGAUAGGAGCCAUUUUUAGUGUGAUGGUUGGAAAGUUUUUUCGGUGUAGGAUGAGCUCGCGGCCUAUCAGCUUGUUGGUGGGGUAAUGGCCUACCAAGGCGGCGACGGGUAGCCGGCCUGAGAGGGUGGACGGCCACAUUGGGACUGGGGUACGGCCCAGACUCCUACGGGAGGCAGCAGUGGGGAAUAUUUGACAAUGGGCGCGAGCCUGAUGCAGCGACGCCGCGUGGGGGGUGACGGGCUUCGGGUUGUAAACUCCGUUCGCUAGGGACGAAGCUUUUUGUGACGGUACCUAGAUAAGAAGCACCGGCUAACUACGUG